CAGACCGAUCUUCCAGAAAUUUCGACACCUUGUUUACUUCGCGCUAAAAACCCAAAUGAAAUUCAUAAAUCUGAAUUUCUAAUUAAUUUCAAGCUCAUUAAAAAAUUCUCCCUAUUAAAUACUCCCAACCCUAGAAAAAUCCCUCAAUUCUGUUCACGGCCAUCUCUCCCACGCACUUCUUACUCAUUUUUUUUUUUUUUUAUAGAAGAAUACGGAACAUCAUUGCAAUUUCUCAAGGGACGAUCGACACCACUGAGUAGAGUGGCCUCCUCUCUCUCAUUAUGUUCUUCUCACGUUCUGCCAUCUCUCCCUUGCUCACUUCUUUGUCAUUUCUUGCAGAAGAAUCGUGGAAGGACAGAAGAUCACUGCAAUUUUUCAAGAGACGAUCAACACCACUGAGUAGAGUCACUUGAUCCAACUCCCUCACAAACAUUUUCACAUUUUAAUAUUUAUAUAUCUGGUGGAAUCAGCUCUUUGACUUUGUAUCAUUUAAUUCCUUCAGUCAAUUAAUUUCUGUAGAGACAAUCGACAUCACUGAGUAGAGUCCCAUGCUCCCUCUCCCCCCACACACAUUUGCUCAUGUUGAAUGCCUUACACCCUUUGAUUUGUAUAUAUGAGUUUAUUUUCUUGUUUAUAUUAGCACUACCAUUUAAUUACAAUAAUUGAUCUGGUGCAUUCAGCUGUUAGCACUUACGCUUUGAAUCAUUUAAUUCCAUGAGUCAAUCAGUUUCUCAAGAGACGAUCAACACCACUGACUAGAGUCACUUGCUCCCUCUCCCUCACACACAUUUUCACAUGUUGAAUGCAAUGCGCAUUUUGAUUUCUAUAUAUCAGUUAAAUUUUGUUUCUGUUAGCACUACCAUUCAACUAUAAUAAUUGAUGUGGUGGGAUCAUUUGUUUGCACUUAGAUUUUGAAUCAUUUAAUUCCUUGAGUCAUCUUUUAAGUUAAUCUGUAAUUUAUUGUUCUGUAUUGGUUUUCUUUUCUUAAUUGUGAGAAGCUCAAACAAAAAUCACUAAGCAGAUUUGAAUGGACCAGAGAAAGAAAAGGUUAGUAAUAAUAAUUCUGGAGGUCUAGAGAAUCUAUCAGGAAUUGUUUUCAUGUGAGAGUUAACUUUAUUAUUUUUAUUUUUAACUUCAGGUUUAUAAUAUUUUUGUGGAACGUUUAUUUGAGAUGUUUUAAUUUGAUUUUUGAUAGGGAGGGUUUCGGGAAUUUGCUCUAGCGUAAUUUUCUUGGUAACAAAUCCGAUGCUGUUGCCGCUGCUGUAAGAUUUUUAUUUCCUUCCUGUUAGUAUCAUGUUUUCUAUGGGUUUUAAGUCAACAAAAUAUUAACAGACUGGCUAAUUUGAAUUUUAUUCUUAAUGCAUGUGAAUUUCGAUUCCAAAUUUUUACUAGAACUAUGCCGAUUAUAUUGUUAAUAUCCAAGCAUGUGCAAUAGUUUAUAUGGGAGCUACGGCAUGAGAAUGAUGGAGUCUUUUUUGUUGUACCCCUCGCCUCUUCUCUGGCUAAGGAAAAUAAUCAUUAAUAUAAAGCAGAAAUUAUGUCCUCCUCAAGCUACUUUUUUGACCUCUGUCAAUUUGUGUUGGAGCUCAGAUUAUUUUCUAAGAUUAUUCCGAAUCCUGUAAGUUUGACAUGUGGAAGAUGUUGGAAAAUAUUACGUUAUAGAUUGGAAAAGACUUUAAAAAUCGCAAGAGGAAAAGAUCUAGUUAGAGAGAUCAGAUUAGUCAGCAAGGAAAAAUGAUCUGGGUAAGGCAGAACAUGCUCCAUACCUCAACCUGGUCGAAGUCUGCUUGAUGGAAGAGAAGUGUGGGGGUCAGGAGCUUUUGAUUAAAAAAUAUAGGGGGAAGGAUUGUUUUGUGGGAUUUAAGUUUGGGGCUUAGAGCUUCAUUGUUAUGCCUCCAGCUUUGGUUAAAAAAUUUGAUGUUUAAAGCAGUGGUAGAUAAUCUUCAAAGCGGAGAAAUGGUAUGAGGCAUCAAUGGCCUGCUUCAGGCUUAAAAUGCUGGUAGUUGAUUACCGUAUCUCAAAAGAGAAUUUUUGUUCUGGUUAAUUGAUUCGCUCAGUGAGAGACAAAAAUGGUUCUUUCCAACAUUCUCAGAAGGUAUAUGAGAAAUCAGAAUUAGGUACAGUUGCGGAUAUGAAGUCCAAGGAGAUUGAGAUGUCAUAUAGAAUGAAUCUUUUUCUCCUUUUGGGAUGGGGUGGACAGGGAGGUUAAAGAAAAUGCCUCAAAACGGUACACAUGAGAAGUUAAAAAAGUUAUCUUCUCUGGAGGUUGUGCGAAAAGGUUUUCCUAUGACGGAUGAUGAGCUACUGGCUUAAUAUUAUCAGAGAUAUUUGACUAAUUAAUAAACUCAAAAAAUAAAAUUGAGAAAGUAAAAAUGGUGAGAUAAAAAGCAUAGUGGUUAGCAAAUGCGAUAGCCGUACAACUUUUUUUGAAAUUAGUUAUAAAUGUGUCAAUAUUAUAAGUUAUUUUAAACUUAAAAAACAUGGUUAAACAUGAGCCAAUUACUUGAGACACCACAAAAAUUCACAUUCCCAUUUUUAACGUCAUUACUUUCAGAUUAAUAUAGAAUCGUAAGCUCUGAGAGGACUGGGUUACCUGAACACAGGGGGAUUUUGAACUCGAGGGUUAAAGGGUUACAAACCACAAGGGACUUCUGGUUAAGAAUUCCUCACAUGAUGAGCAGUAUUGCAAUCAGUGGAUUCUAUAACGACGUAAAUUCUAGGCGUUGGACAUUCUUCAUAGAAUAACUAAAGGUGGUCUAGAACGGCUUUCCUAAAAUAAAAUUGAAAAAGAAGUAAGCUGAUCUGGUAUUAAGUAUUGUAUUUUGCAAUUUCCUCACCUGUUCAGAUCUUCUCAUUCAUUUCUCCGUAUAGAAUCUCUUCUUUCUUUCUAAUACUCUUUUAAAUAAGUUGUUUUGCAAAUUCUUAUUCGAAUGGGUAUGUUGAUAAUGAAAUCCAGGAUCAAAUGUUGGGAGUGAUGGCUUGCCCCAAGAAGAUGAUUCAAGCUCCAGUUCAAGCUCAAGCUUAUUAAGGCCAAAAAAAUCACCAGGUAUACAAUAGUUAAGUGUACUUGAGUUUUACCUUCGGAACCAUAAAUUGUGACAGGAAGAAGGUUGUCAUCCUCCUGCCUUUUAACAACUAUGUGUAGAGGAAGAGUUGAAUCCCAAUCAGCCAAUUGUUAUUGAUGAACGUUUGUUCAAAAAGGGGCUAACUUUCUCGUAUCUCAUAUGCCUUACCCAAUAAAAUGAUCAAGUUGAUCAGGGUAGGAGUCUCCAAAAACUUCAUUCACUUCAUGAUGGAAGUAGAGUCUUUUGCAUUCUCCCCAGAACUGGAAGAUCAAGCCAUCAAUCUCUACACGGCUCAGGCCAUUCAAGCUGAGUUUGACCUGCUUGAACCUGUAUUAAUGACUUGGCCAUUGUUUGAGAUUUUCUAAACAUAGCUCCUGUUAUUCCAUCAUUAAAGUGUUCAUUAUCAUCGCUUGAAAUGUUCAAUCAGGGUAUUCACAAUCAGGAAAAGUUUAAUUGAUCAUAAAAGUCAUAAAAACAUUCUGAAUUGUACUUGAGAGAGAAACAACAAAACAUAAAAAGAAAUGUACGAAAGGUAGAGUAAUUCAGAUAAAAAAUGAUAGGAACAAGUUGAUAUCAAUAAUCAAGCAACAAUUUCAUAACAUCCCACGACACUGAAUUUUUGAAAUAUCCAUAAUCAGUAUUGAUGCUGAUGUGCAUUUCUGGUUUCAAUAACGAAAAUAUGAUAAUUUGGUAAAUCUCGAAAUUAUUUUCUCUGAUAACAAUUGAUCUCAGAUAAGAAUACAUCUCAAAUUGAAGCUGAAUUGCCUAAUCAAUGUCUGUGGUAGUUGCACUUGACGCAUCAUCAUCAUCCCUAGUAAGGUCACUUUGUGUUCCACCACUAUCAUUCUCAUGGCUCUCUUCCUCAUCCUCAAGUUGUUCUCCGUCAUUCUCAUCCCAUGUCGCUUUCAAUUCUCUGUCAUUGCAAUCAUAAAAAGAUAUACCAAUAGGGCUCUUCUACAUGAGGCCAAUAGUCUUUCACUGCGGUCUUGUCAUGCAACCAUAAUGAAGAAUGUUUAUGAAGGACUCUAGGCUGUUUACAAAAUUCAAGUGUACUUGAGUUUUAACUUCAUUACCUUCGAAACUAUAAAUUGUGACAGGAAGAAGGUUAUCAUCCUCUCGCCUUUUAACAACUAUGUGUAGAUUAAUUUUUGUGACAAAAUUUGUCUAAUCAAGACGUAACGGAAGAGUCAUUGAACCCAAUUCUGAUUGAUUAGAAUUUUGUCACAAAAAUUCAACACAUAGUUGGUAAAAUGCAGGAGGAUGAUCCUAUCACAAUUUAUGGUUUCGAAGUUACUGAAAUUAAAACUCAGAUACACUUGAAUUUUGUAAACAGUCUGGAGUCCUUCAUAAACAUUCUUCAUUAUGGUUGCAUGACAUGACAGCAGCGGGAGACUAUUAGCCUCCUAUAGAAGAGCCCUAUUGGUAUAUCUUUUUAUGAUUGCAAUGGUAGAGAGUUGAAAGCGCCAUGAGAUGAGAAUGAUAGAGAACAACUUGAGGAUGAGGAGGAGAGUUAUGAGAAUGAUAGUGGUGGAACACAAAGUGACCUUAUUGGGGAUGAUGAUGAUGCAUCUAGUGCAACUACCAGAGAUAUUGAUCAGGCAAUCCAGCUUAAAUUUGAGAUGUAUGCUUAUCUGAGAUCAAUUGUUAUCAGAUAAAAGAAUUUCGAGAUUUACCAAAUCAUCAUAUUUUCGUUAUUGAAGCAAAAAAUGCACAUCAGCAUCAAUACUGAUUAUGGAUAAUUCAGUGUCGUGGGAGGUCAUGAAAUUAUUGCUUGAUUAUUGAUAUCAACUUGUUUCUAUCAUUUUUUAUCUAAAUUACCUUUCGUACAUUUCUUUUUAUGUUUUGUUGUCUGUAAGUACAAUUCAGAAUGCUUUUGUGAUCAAUUAAACUUUUUUUGAUUGUGAGUACCUUGAUGGACCAUUUCAAGCGAUGAUAAUGAACACCUUAAUGAUGGAAUAACGGGAGUUGUGUUUAGAAAAUUUCAAACAAUAGUUGAGUCAUUAAUGCAUGUCAAACUAAUCCCCCGUUUGGCCCCCAUUUUCUGAAAAUGAAAAUGGGGGGGAAUAGUAUUUUUUAGAAAAAUGAGUGGUUGAAAAAAAAGGAAAAUUUUUCGAUUUACGUGUAAUAUUAUUUUAAGGAAGAUUGUAUGGUUGAAAAUAAGAGAUAGAAAAAUGUAAUGUAAUUGAAUUUAAUGGGGAUCAAACGGGGGCUAAGAAUGACCUGAGCUGUGUAGAGAUUGAUGGCUUGAUCUUCAAGUUCUGGGAAGAAUGUAAAAGACUCUGUUUCCAUCGGGAAGUGAAUGGAGUUUUUGGAGACUCCUAUCCUGAUCAUUUUUUUAGGUAAGGCAUACGAGAAAUUCAGCUCCUUUUUGAACAAACGUUCAUCAACAACACAAUAAUUGACUGAUUGGGAUUUCAACUCUUCCUCUACCAGGUCAUUGGGUAAAACUCCUAAACGAAGAAUGCUCUAAUAGGAAUUGAUGCUUGUUGAUUUUUUCCAAUCAUGUUGGUGGUAGUUAAUUAGCCUGUGAAGUUUUGCAAGCAGGCUUGGGUAGAAAAAUCGAUUAAACCAAUCAAAUAGGUUUGACACAAGUAAUUUGUUUUGUUUGAUUUUCUUUUAAAUAAGACUAUAGUAGUUUGGUUCAGUCAUGGUUUGAAGUUUCAAACUGUUGGUUAAUCCAAUUCACUUAUAUAUUUACCUUUUUAAGACAAAUAAAAAUCAAAAGAUGAGUUUUAUUCUCAUAACUAUAUCACGAUUCACUCUUGAUGUUGCCGGUGAGUAAUAUUACUGAAAUUUUCAUUUCACAAACUUAUUAUGUUAUACUUAUUUUUUUUCCACUCAAGCUGU
rnacentral:lncRNA from 1 species